rnacentral:tRNA from 1 species
GCAGUGAUAGUUCAGUGGUAGAAUUCUCUCUUCUAUAAGGGAGACCCGGGUUCAAUUCCCUGGCCAAUGCA